rnacentral:rRNA from 1 species
UACGGAGGGAGCUAGCGUUGUCCGGAAUUAUUGGGCGUAAAGAGCUCGUAGGCGGUUUGUCGCGUCUGCUGUGAAAACCCGAGGCUCAACCUCGGGCCUGCAGUGGGUACGGGCAGACUAGAGUGCGGUAGGGGAGAUUGGAAUUCCUGGUGUAGCGGUGGAAUGCGCAGAUAUCAGGAGGAACACCGAUGGCGAAGGCAGAUCUCUGGGCCGUAACUGACGCUGAGGAGCGAAAGCAUGGGGAGCGAACAGG